rnacentral:rRNA from 1 species
CCCAGACUCCUACGGGAGGCAGCAGUGGGGAAUAUUGCGCAAUGGGGGAAACCCUGAUGCAGCAACGCCGCGUGGGUGAAGAAGUAUUUCGGUAUGUAAAGCCCUAUCAGCAGGGAAGAGAAUGACGGUACCUGACUAAGAAGCCCCGGCUAACUACGUGCCAGCAGCCGCGGUAAUACGUAGGGGGCAAGCGUUAUCCGGAUUUACUGGGUGUAAAGGGAGCGUAGACGGUUGUGCAAGUCUGAAGUGAAAGCCCGCGGCUCAACUGCGGAACGGCUUUGGAAACUGUGUAACUGGAGUGCUGGAGAGGUAAGCGGAAUUCCUGGUGUAGCGGUGAAAUGCGUAGAUAUACGGAGGAACACCAGUGGCGAAGGCGGAUUGCUGGACAGUAACUGACGCUGAGGCGCGAAAGCGUGGGGAGCAAACAGGAUUAGAUACCCGUGUAU